UAGCUAGUUGGUGAGGUAAAGGCUUACCAAGGCGACGAUCUGUAGCGGGUCUGAGAGGAUGAUCCGCCACACUGGAACUGAGACACGGUCCAGACUCCUACGGGAGGCAGCAGUGGGGAAUUUUGGACAAUGGGGGCAACCCUGAUCCAGCCAUGCCGCGUGAGUGAAGAAGGCCUUCGGGUUGUAAAGCUCUUUCGGCCGGGAAGAAAUCGCAUGGGCCAAUACCCUGUGUGGAUGACGGUACCGGAAUAAGAAGCACCGGCUAACUACGUGCCAGCAGCCGCGGUAAUACGUAGGGUGCGAGCGUUAAUCGGAAUUACUGGGCGUAAAGCGUGCGCAGGCGGUUUUGUAAGACAGGCGUGAAAUCCCCGGGCUUAACCUGGGAACUGCGUUUGUGACUGCAAGGCUAGAGUACGGCAGAGGGGGGUGGAAUUCCACGUGUAGCAGUGAAAUGCGUAGAGAUGUGGAGGAACACCAAUGGCGAAGGCAGCCCCCUGGGUCGAUACUGACGCUCAUGCACGAAAGCGUGGGUAGCAAACAGGAUUAGAUACCCUGGUAGUCCACGCCCUAAACUAUGUCAACUAGGUGUUGGGUGGGUAAAACCAUUUAGUACCGUAGCUAACGCGUGAAGUUGACCGCCUGGGGAGUACGGCCGCAAGGUUAAAACUCAAAGGAAUUGACGGGGACCCGCACAAGCGGCGGAUGAUGUGGAUUAAUUCGAUGCAACGCGAAAAACCUUACCUACCCUUGACAUGCCAGGAACUUGCCAGAGAUGGCUUGGUGCCCGAAAGGGAACCUGGACACAGGUGCUGCAUGGCUGUCGUCAGCUCGUGUCGUGAGAUGUUGGGUUAAGUCCCGCAACGAGCCAACCCUUGUCGUUAAUUGCCAUCAUUUAGUUGGGCACUUUAACGGGACUGCCGGUGACAAACCGGAGGAAGGUGGGGAUGACGUCAAGUCCUCAUGGCCCUUAUGGGUAGGGCUUCACACGUCAUACAAUGGACGGUACAAAGGGUUGCCAAGCCGCGAGGCGGAGCCAAUCCCAGAAAGCCGAUCGUAGUCCGGAUUGCAGGCUGCAACUCGCCUGCAUGAAGUCGGAAUCGCUAGUAAUCGUGGAUCAGCAUGUCACGGUGAAUACGUUCCCGGGUCUUGUACACACCGCCCGUCACACCAUGGGAGCGGGUUCCGCCAGAAGUAGGUAGCCUAACCGCAAGGGGGGCGCUUACCACGGCGGGGUUCGUGACUGGGGUGAAGUCGAAACAAGGUAGCCGUAGGGGAACCUGCGGCUG
rnacentral:rRNA from 1 species